rnacentral:lncRNA from 1 species
GAGACUUGAUAAUUUGGCGCUCAUACCGGACGAGGUUUGGGGACGGCCUGCUUCACCCUCACACUGGAUGGGGUAUUGAGAUUUAAUGUCUUGGUGCUCAUACCGAACGGGGUAUGGGGACGGCUCUGUAAUUAAGAUUGUUAAGGGAAAGGGUUCACGUGUAGUGGGGACACCCCAAUGGAUCCCUUAUAGAUACUAGUAGAUUGGUGAAACGAUUAGGAGUUCGUCUAUUGUUAAUGGAUAUGGAUUUAUAAUAUGUACCGUGAUGGUUGAUUAUGCAUGAAAUUAUGAUCUAUAUGAUAUUAUUGCUUCAAUAAUUUAUUUUCAAGAAUUCCCCAAUUGUAAGUAAAAGGGUAAAUGGUUUUAUUUUAAAUAAAUGUAUUAGUUUAAAUCUAUUG